AUGGGGUCGCGUCCUAUCAGCUUGACGGGGGGGUAACGGCCCACCGUGGCUUCGACGGGUAGCCGGCCUGAGAGGGCGACCGGCCACAUUGGGACUGAGAUACGGCCCAGACUCCUACGGGAGGCAGCAGUGGGGAAUAUUGCACAAUGGGCGCAAGCCUGAUGCAGCGACGCCGCGUAG
rnacentral:rRNA from 1 species